GUUACUAUAGUUGAAUGGACAACAAUGUUUUUUCAUGUCAUUGGUCUUGGUUUUAAUCCAUGUAGUAAUU
rfam:Dipodomys ordii ctg_broad_rename0001974, whole genome shotgun sequence.